GCCUCGUGCCCACAGCAGAUCGUUCUCCGCCGCCAACCAGCCCUUCGCACGCCCGAUCCAUCCCUUCGCCCCCGCCGGACAUCCAUCCCUGUGCCGCGGCCGAUCCUAACCUUGGCCGUCGCCCACUCCCGUCGAUCCCAUCUAUCGUUGCCGCUGCAGCCGCCGCAAAAAAAAUCCAUCGACCCCUCCCAUCGAUCGUUGCCGCCGCCGCCGUCCGAGGGGCAGACGCCGCCGCCGCCGCCACCGUCCGAGGGGCAGACGCCGCCGCCGCCGCCACCGCCGCAGUACAAGGGGGAGACGCCGCCGCCGCCGCUGCAAGGCAUGGCGGUUUGAAUCCCGCCCCCGCCGCUGCAAGGCAUGCUCACCAAGAUGUUCGGUGAGGCCGGCGACUACGACGGCAUCCAGUUCGUCUUCAAGAAGAUGCGGGAGGUUGGCAUCAAGCCCUAAAUCUUCGUCUACAACGCUUUGCUCGAGGCGAUCGGCAAGACCGGCAAGUUGGGGCUGGCCCGCAGCCUGUUCGAGGAAAUGUCCGCCGAGGGGGUCGAGCCCAACGAGCGCACACCGCGGUGGCCAAGAUCUGUUGCCGGGCACGCUGGGGACGCGACGUGCUCCAGCUCUGGGACAAGAUGCGCGACAAGAAGAUCCCCGCCCACAACAUCCUCUGGAACACGCAUGUGCGCCGACGUGGGGCUGGUGGCUGAGGCCGAGCAGUUCUUCGAGGAGAUGAAGCUGGACAAGUGGAGCUACACAGCCAUCAUCAACAUCUAUGGGAGCAUCAAGGACGCCAACCGCGCACUCCAGUUGUUUGUGGAAAUGCUACAGAGCGGCAUAGAGGCCAACAUAAUGAGCUACACCAUCGUGAUCCAGUGCCUCGGCAAGGCGAACAGGAUACAUGACGCCGUUCUUUGUAACCGCAUCUGGGUCAUAGACGUACAUUCUCACGUGCACACGCGUCACUGCCUACCGCUACCUUCCUUGCCGGCGGUGGACAGCGCCGCGUUUCCGGAUUAGGGGGGACUGGCCGAACCGCGACCGCGCCUUCGCCACGGCUGAGGGGAGCGAAAGCCACACCGCCGCACUCCCGGCCACGGGCCACAACCUGCGGGUCUUCGUCCGUCAGGGCCUGGACGCUUCUACUACUCCACUCCUUGUGCGAACACAUCGACACAUAUUAGCGCCCGACUGUGCCACCAAGCUCAAAUCAGGGGCUGCAAGAUUCCAUCACGAGUCUUCGUGUGGUGGUCUUGGUCUUGGAUUGUAAAGCCCGGUUUGGGAUUUUGCUACAACUGCUCAUUCAGUGAGGAUUCUGAUCGAAGAUGAUCAGAAGGAAAAAGGACUUUGCCCAAGUAACUCCAGCUGGUUAUAUUGACACACUAUAUGAAUGUAACGCCAUACAGAGGCAUGUUUCAUGUGUGGCAGAGGACUAGAGGUAAUUAAAACUUCAUGUGAGGAAGCAAUCUACAAAGUCAAGUGGAGCAAUAGCGUCCAAGCAGUCUUGUUGCUAUGUUCUUGCUUUUGCUGUACACAAAGAGGCCGGGAUUGAGCAAGGGCGCUGGAGAUAUUGUGUCAAUAGUGGGCAUCUUGAUGCAGUUGCGCUUGUCGAGGUUGAGCUUGUUCCCACGCAUGACUUGUAGUUGUAAACUUAUGCAUUUGGGGCUAUUAAAGGGAGGCAAUUGACGUGCAUGUCAAGAGGAGUUAUUCUGUGGCAACCCACAGAGUCAUGUUUGAUCAUUAAAAGAAAUGGCCACGGAUCCCCACGGACGCCGCCACUGCCGCGGAUCCCCACAGAUGAUGCAGACGCCGCCGAACAGAGCAGGAUGUGGUCGUGUUGCACUGAUUGGAGGAGACCGUGCCGGCUGUGCGCUGUUUGGAGGACGAACACAGGUUCACCGCCAUGGCUAUGAGAGGACGCAUUUGUGUUCAGUUGUUCGGGCAGAGGAGGCACUUUGUUGAAGCAUCAAGUGAAUUGAAAUGUGCAAAUGCUCUUGGUGCCCAUUAGUUCUGUGUGUGAGUAAGAAAUCGUUUUCUUCUCCAUAGCUGAGAAACCAGUAAAGAAAUUAUGUGUCAGGAGCAAGAAUCUUUUUCGAUGAAAGCCGCUACCUUUCAUAGAUAAAUUGUGUUCCUUUUCAAGAAAGAAAUCCAUAGCCUUGAAUCAAUAGAUAUACAUAAGUUUUAUGUUGAUGUUAUCUACAAUAAGAGUACUUGAAAUUGAUAGAGUUGCCAUUAGAUUUUCCGAGAAGAGGCAGACAUUAUAUCACCUGUCCGUUUAAUCUUUCUCUGUUUAUUAUGUUGCUUCUCUUUUUUUGUCUUAUUCUUAUUCCAAUCAUUGCAUUAGGAUUCAUUGCCAAUUUAUUCGGUCCUUAUUUAAUUUGGAUGGUGCUGAACUAUUUUUGUGGUCCUUAUUUAAUUUGGAUGGUGCUGAACUAUUUUUGUGGUACCUGGUACCUUUCAUGAUCAAGAAGAGCUCACAUGUGACUAAAUAGACAUGGUGUAUUGUUUAAGCAUGCAUACUUGGCCUCUUUGGACUAUUAAUAGAAGCUUGUGUCCCCUUUGGACUAGGGAAGGUAUGUUAAAUUGUACCAACCAUGUCAUUAGACUGUAACAGAAGAAAAAAAUGUAUCAAAUUAUAUGUUUUUAUUUACUUCGAUCGGUAUGAAGGGCAGGUGACAUUCAUACUAAAAUUUUGGCUAUAAUCUAUUCAACCCGGUUGUAAAUCAUUGCAUGGUAAUGUUUCUAUGUGCAUAUUCUGGAUUGCUCUAUGCAAAUGCAUAAAACAGGGAAGGACCAUGCCGUGAGCUUAUUGAUAAAUCUGAGCAGCUAGCUAGGCUCUGUAGUAACAUCUUAACUGCCUGCUUAGAUUACUUAUCUGUUUGGUCAUUCCUUCUUUUUGCCUGCUUAGUAUAAACUGUAUGUUCUAUUCUGCAGCUCCUCCUGCUGCUAUAUUGACCUCUACUUGAAGUCGGGAGCCAAAUUGAAGAUCAAAUUCAGGCUUUCAAAAGUGAGGCUAGGGCGCGGAGGUGAGGCCAAAUUGGCGUGGCGUGUGAAUGUAAGGAUUGAAAUGAGAUAGUUAUCUUCUUUCAGUUGUUUGCUUCUGCUUAUUGAUAGAGAUAAUGAUUCCCUAUUUAGUAGAGAUGCUGUCACAUAUUAAUAUUGGGAAUUAUCUAUAGUUCAUUUGAUGUUCAUAUCUCCAUCCUAGCGACCGCUUUGUCCAUGGCGUUUUUAUCGCAUCCACCCAGGUCAGUAUGAAACAAGAACGCACAUCUAUGUUGUAUUUGCUUUAUAGUAAUACAGGUUUAGGUGGUCAGUCGCCCUAUGUUGUUUGCAUCAAAAACGUUCUUUGCAUGGUGCGCACAGCAGCAAUUCAUUGUUCGAAGCAGUGAAGCGAUGUAAAAAAUGUGCAUCGGCGGUUGUGAAUAGCAUCCGUCAUUUUUCGUAGUCCUCUUAGUUAUGUACCAGCGCAGAUGUUGUGUACCGAAAGUAGGAGCAAUCAAGUUGUUUUUUCUCUGACAAGGACGCAAGCUGGCCUUGUUGUGCUAUGCUCAUCUCAAAUUGUAUGCUGAGUCUACUUAUUUUAGCUUAACGUAGGUUUUGGCAGCAAGAAACACUUGCAAAUGUAUGUCUUCUGGAUAUAAGUAUCUGCUCUAGAAGAUAUAUAUAGAUAGCCAUCACAAUAACUGGGGAUAUAAAUAUUUGCACUAGAAGAUAAAUAUUUAUAGCGGUCACACUAACUGAAUCUGUUGUGUACUACAAUAUUUUUAUUCAGAAGAAGACAUGAUUAUAUGUU